GGCGGAACCCUUAAUAGAGGAUGCACUGGGAGAGGAAGCAGAGUAUAUCCCAUUGAAUGGUCAAUGUACAAACUAUGAUUGUGGAAUAUUCGUAAUGAAAUGGCUGGAAACAAUAGAUCCACAAAAAAUAAAGAGCGGCAAGAGAUAUAAAUAUAAAGCUUGGACACAA